GACGAACGCUGGCGGCGUGCUUAACACAUGCAAGUCGAACGGUGAUCUUGGGAGCUUGCUCCUGGGUGAUCAGUGGCGAACGGGUGAGUAACACGUGAGUAGCCUGCCCCUGACUCUGGAUUAACUUCGGGAAACCGAAGCUAAUACCGGAUAUGACACAGAGCCGCAUGGUUUCUGUGUGGAAAGUCUUUUCGGUUGGGGAUGGACUCGCGGCCUAUCAGCUUGUUGGUGAGGUAAUGGCUCACCAAGGCGAGGACGGGUAGCCGGCCUGAGAGGGCGACCGGCCACACUGGGACUGAGACACGGCCCAGACUCCUACGGGAGGCAGCAGUGGGGAAUAUUGCACAAUGGGCGAAAGCCUGAUGCAGCGACGCCGCGUGAGGGAUGAAGGCCUUCGGGUUGUAAACCUCUUUCAGUAGGGAAGAAGCGCAAGUGACGGUACCUACAGAAGAAGCACCGGCUAACUACGUGCCAGCCGCCGCAGUAACAC
rnacentral:rRNA from 1 species